UAGCUUAGUUGGUAGAGCACUUGCCUCACAUGCACGAGGUCCUGGGUUCAAUCCCCUG
rnacentral:tRNA from 1 species